GUCCGGAUGGUUCAGUGGUCAGAGCAUCUGCCUAGUAAGCAGGAGACACGUGUUCGAAUCCCGGUCUGGCACA